CCUACGGGUGGCUGCAGUGGGGAAUAUUGCACAAUGGGGGGAACCCUGAUGCAGCGACGCCGCGUGAGUGAAGAAGUAUUUCGGUAUGUAAAGCUCUAUCAGCAGGGAAGAAAAUGACGGUACCUGACUAAGAAGCCCCGGCUAACUACGUGCCAGCAGCCGCGGUGAUACGGAGGGGGCAAGCGGUAGCCGGAUUUACUGGGUGUAAAGGGAGCGUAGCAGGGGAGGCCAGUCUGAAGGGAAAGCCCAAGGCUCAACCAUGGGACUGCUUUGGAAACUGUAAAACUGGAGUGCAGGAGAGGUAAGCGGAAUUCCUAGUGUAGCGGUGAAAUGCGUAGAUAUUAGGAGGAACACCCGUGGCGAAGGCGGCUUACUGGACUGUAACUGACGUUGUGGCUCGAAGGCGUGGGGAGCAAACAGGAUUAGAUACCCUGGUAGUC
rnacentral:rRNA from 1 species